rnacentral:rRNA from 1 species
AGCGAACGCUGGCGGCAGGCCUAACACAUGCAAGUCGAACGAACCCUUCGGGGUUAGUGGCGGACGGGUGAGUAACACGUGGGAGCGUGCCUUUAGGUUCGGAAUAACUCAGGGAAACUUGUGCUAAUACCGAAUGUGCCCUUCGGGGGAAAGAUUUAUCGCCUUUAGAGCGGCCCGCGUCUGAUUAGCUAGUUGGUGAGGUAAUAGCUCACCAAGGCUACGAUCAGUAGCUGGUCUGAGAGGAUGACCAGCCACAUUGGGACUGAGACACGGCCCAAACUCCUACGGGAGGCAGCAGUGGGGAACCUUGCGCAAUAGGCGAAAGCCUGACGCAGCCAUGCCGCGUGGAUGAUGAAGGUCUUAGGAUUGUAAAAUCCUUUCACCGGUGAAGAUAAUGACUGUAGCCGGAGAAGAAGCCCCGGCUAACUUCGUGCCAGCCGCCGCGGUAAGAC